CAGUGUCAUUCUGGUAGAAGUAAAAGUAACAGUUCAGCAUGUGUGAUCAUCAAGUAAUGUUCUACCUUCUAUUACUAAUAUUUCUUACAACAAAAAUCCACUGCUCCGACGAAAACUGUGCUAAUUCGUCCCUCACCGGCUUUGGGUACGAGAUGAUAACAACGAAACUGGACUAUAUUCAGUGCAAGCUGACCGCGAUCGAGCUUGCUAUGAAGGAGGAUCGGAAGAGCUUCGACCAGACGCUGUCUACAGCUGUAAGCCAACUGAGCGAAACGAUUGGCCGCAAUCUGACCGCACUGAGCACACAAACAAAUAAAAUGCUCACUGAGGAGACCGCCAACGCCAAUCACGAACGGAUGCGAGAUGAGAUUCAAAUGCUUUUAUCGAAGCAAGACCUGGCUCCAUUUAUGGUUAUUUCUGGCCUAAAUCUUCACAGUGUUUCGUUUCAAUCGUGCAAGAACAAUCCAUCGAAGCGAUCGGGCAAGUAUCUGAUACAGCCUACUAAAAACGAUGAGCCUUUCAUAGGAUAUUGCGAACAGUCUAGUUUCGGAGGAGGUUGGCUUGUGUUCCAGUAUCGUUUUAAUGGAUCGGUGGACUUUGAUCGCAACUGGGAUUAGUAUCGGAACGGGUUUGGAAACCUGGAUGGAGAGUUUUGGCUCGGCUUGGAACACUUGCAUCGUAUUACGCAGGCACGACAACACGAGCUGUUGGUUGAGAUGAAAGAUUUCGAUGGAAACUAUUUUUACGCACUGCAUAGCGAGUUCGAAAUAGGCAGCGAGGCAGAGCAAUAUAUGUUAAAUAAGGUUAAAUUGUCUUCAGGAACAGUAAGAGAUGGAUUAGAAUAUCAUAAAGGGAUGAAGUUUUCGACCAAGGAUCGGGACAAUGAUGACUAUCCCGAUAAAAGCUGUGCUCCCAUAUACGGAGGAGCUUGGUGGUAUAGUUGUGCUAACACUUCAAAUCUAAAUGGUCGUUAUAUGAAUAGUACAAGUGGAAAAUCUAUAAGCUGGUAUUUUUACAAAUCCUCCUAUUUGGGUUUAGCAUACUCAAGAAUGUUGGUUCGCGAAAUUUAACGCGUUUUAAUCAAUAAAGUAAAACAAACAUGCAUCCAUUCCAAGCUCAGUUGAAUUUCCAGAACCAGUUAACAGUUGCAUAUGUUUGGUGUAUUAUCGCUGCAUCUUCAUUCUUCGUCUGGUGACACGCCGGAAUGCUGUGCGUUAUGAUAAGGCAUCAACUUAUGAAGUUAUAGACGUGAUCGCACUACUAAAAUAAAAAAACUACUAUAAGCAACACAUUUAUGGAAGAGAAUCUAUUCACAGUUAUAAUAAACCUCACUGACCCUGCCACUUGAAAUAAAAAGGCACAACUAAAACAGCACACUAAACGACUGAUAAGGCAGACCGCAUUAUUUUUGCAUACGUUAUCGCACUUUUUGAGACCGCAUCCAAACGUUUCAUGCAUACAGCAGAACACAGAUGACCAAUCAGAUAAUUUACUUACUAUGGUGUGCUGAAAGCCAAGUCGUGGGAAUCAGUUGCUGUCUUGAGAAUUUCAAUCCAACCAGACCUACAAAGCGGCACUAUAAAAAGAAGCCACAUACGCCAUUGCUCAGCCACAUUCCAUUGUGAUAAUUGGUUCUAAAUGACCAUCAACGUUUAUUCAGUGUUUUUGUGCCUUGUGGUAGUUUUGUUUUCAACACCAAAAGUGCACGGUAUCGAGCAAAAUGAUUCACAUCCAUCCCACACAGGCUUUGGAUACGAGGUCAUUACAGCCAAGCUAGAAUACCUCCAGUACAAACUGAUCGCAAUGGAGCUCGCGAUGAAGGAGGACCGAGAGACUAUCGAGCUGAAGCUGACCCAUCAGGAGACUCUUAUGGAUGAACUAUUGUGGACCAUCGACCAGAAGCAGUCGGAAGUUACGGGGGCCAUAAGCCAACUGAGUCAAGCGAUCGGUCACAAUCCAACCGCACUGAAGACACAGUCGAAUAAAAUGCUCUCGCAACAGGAGGCCUGCGCCAACCACGAACAAAUGCGGAACGAGAUCCAAAUGCUAUCGUCAAAGGAAGAUCGAGGUCAAUUCAAGGGCAGUUUUUGGUCUACAUCGACGAAAACCCCCGUUCGCUCGUGCAAGGAAGAGCCAUCGAAGCAAUCGGGCAAGUAUCUGAUACAACCAACCGAAAACGACGAACCAUUCCUGGGGUACUGCGAUCAAACGACUUUCGGAGGAGGCUGGCUAGUGAUUCAGCAUCGGUUUAACGGAUCGUUGGACUUUUAUCGCAACUGGGUCGAGUACCGGAAUAGAUUCGGAACUGUAGAUGGAGAGUUUUGGCUUGGUUUGGAUCGUUUACAUUGGUUGACUUCAGCACGCUCCUACGAAUUAUUAGUGGAGUUGAAAGAUUUCUCCGGAAACUACGUUUACGCACGAUAUAGUGAGUUUGCGAUUGGCAGUGAGGCAGAACAAUAUCCACUAGCAAAACUAGGAACGUACACAGGAACAGCAGGAGAUUCAUUAGAUCACCACAAAGGGAUGAAGUUCUCGACCAAGGAUCGGGACAAUGAUAGUACAGGUGGAAACUGCGCUACCGAGAACGAGGGAGCAUGGUGGUACAAAGAGUGUCACUACUCGAAUCUGAAUGGAGUUUAUAUGGAUAAAGUGGACCCAAAAGCUAUAUGUUGGUACCAUUACAAAUCUUCUUACCAGGGAUUGGCAUAUUCUAGAAUGCUGAUACGUGAAACAUAAUCAUAACAUCAAAUUUACACGAAUAAAAUUAAAAAUCUGGUUAUCUGCA